rnacentral:tRNA from 1 species
ACCUUUGUAGUUUAUUAUUUUAAAAUAUAACUUUGAAGAAGUUAAGAAAGUUGGGGUG